GGGAAGAAAAGGUAACCUAAUACGACCAGCAGAGGGAGACAGGGUGAAGAGUAAGAACAGGAACAGGACACAACAUGACAAUACAUUACAUAUAUAGACCAAUGUACAGGAAAUUCUAAACAGCUGACUAUGGUAGACUGGCCUCUGACUGUUUCAUUUUAAUAAAAACCUUACAAAUUCUUAGUAACAGACAGAGUUGUUUAAUUGAAGUUCAGUUUAUGAACAUUGUGAACAAGAUUCUCAUAACAAAUAUAACAUUAUUAUAACAAACAUAUGUCCUUGUUUUACUUGAUCACAAUUUAUGACAUGGUCAGUAGGCUACAAAUUAAUUACCAUUUAGAAAAUGUACAGGAAAUGAGAUGCAGAGCUCUCGUAAAUAAACCUGCUGACUAUGGUAGACUGUUUCAUUUUAAUAAGAACCUGACAAAUUCUUAGUAACAGACAGAGUAUGUUAAUUGAAGUUCAGUUUAUGAACAUUGAGAACAAAAUUCUCAUUACAAUUGGUCCUUCGAGAGCCGGAACCCAAUACCUGUCCCUACCGUCCAAAGGUACCACGCCGAAAUACCGUGCACGGGCGGGUCAUUGACCCGUAAAUUAAAGACCUGUUCCCUGACAUUGGGGUUCCAUUACAGGUCGGCAGAGACCGUGACGGGAUCCAACCUACAUUGCUUUUUCCCAGUCUAUAAGACAGGUGAAUUACAGGAGAAGGUGAUUCACUCAAUCCAGUCCCUGAGGAGAAUAGACGGGAAACAGCCCUGUUGGGAGGGGCCAUACAAAGUAUUCCUAGUGACAGCCUUCGCGGUGAGAAUAGCUGAAAGAGCUACCUGGGGCAUAUCACACAUUGCAGGAGGGUAAGACACACAGACACUGUCUAACAAUCACAGAGUUAGGAGAAGAACCAAAACCAAUAGGGUUCGGGGGUUACCUCUCUAACGAAGAUUCCCUAACCCCGUCCUAUCCUCCCUGUGUGCGUUCAUAGAAGUGAAAGUAUGGGCUGGCCUCUAGCUGAGGAUAUGUUCUCCGGGAAAGGGUGGGGCUUUACAGGAGUGCUGAUUAGUCUGAGCUGUCUUAUUGUGGGAGCAAUAUUCCUAAAUACACCAUGACCCAUCCCGAGAAUGCAGAAGGUGGUAACUUGACCCAUAGUUUAGACGAUGAGGAUUUUGUAUUAACCAAGCAUAAGAGAUCACUUGAUCUGGGUAAACAGGAAGUGAGCGUGGAGAUUGGGAAGGAUGUCUCAGUGGAGUUCUAUGUAGACCAGAUGGGGUCUCUGACUCCUUGGCAGUCUAGGACGAUGAGCCAUUACGGAGGAUAUCUGUGCAGGUCCCCGUGUAGUUCAUGGAAGCAGGUCAUAGCCCACAGAGAGAGAGAGGGCUAUAGGAAUCCGCUUACCCCGUAUGUAAGGAGGUGGAGUAUAGUGAACGUGAGGGUUUUUGACUGCAAUCCGGAGCGAGAGAAGUAUUGCAUAAAGGUACGAAUUACCAUUAAGAACGUAAAGAAGGAGGAUCUAGGGUUAUGAUAUGUUGGGUUUGAUCAGAUUUCGGUUGAUACCCUAGUGCCAUUCCAGGAAGAAGAGGUUAGGGCAGGUGAUAGCUCUAUGGUCAGACAGAAUUCAAGCAGAGCCCCUGACAAAACAGAUACUGACAGCAGAGUCGUCCAGAGCCAAGGGCCGGUGCGGAUAGUGCAGACGAGAAAUCUUAAGGAAGUGAUUGAGGCGGAAACGGAUUAUGGGGAUUCUAACCUAUGAUUAGAAUGGUUUCAGUAUACAGCCAGAUCAGUAGCGAAAGAAGAAUGUUAUGCCUGCGCCACAGCAAAACCUCAGCUGACUACCAUCCCCUUUCCAUUUGAUGGAAUUGAUACACCCAGGGGAAUGGCCUGUAUGGUAAAGCUGUUCAUGAGGGCAGGGAAGCCGGACAAUGGCAGUUGCAUUGGUCUGCAUUAUCUGUAUCCCCAUGUGCCCAUUACAUCUACACUUCCCCCUUUCACAGUUACAGGAGGACAUUAUUAUUGUAUGGCUCGCUACAUAACACUCAUGUGAAAGACGUAGGGGAAGUGAGUACAUGCAAUAGGACAGAGAAUGUUACAACUGAUGAGACUAUGAGAGAUCUGACAGGCUGGUUGAGCUCUGGGGAUUUCAGUAAGAUAAAGAGGCCAAGGGCUGACAUCUGGUGGUUGUGUGGGGGAAUGCACCCUCAUCCAACACCAUGACAUAAUGUUGGCAAGACGGGAAAAAAGAAGCUCUCCAUCUGGGUCUUUUGACGAUAGAGUAUAUAUUGAUAAUAUUGGGGUCCCAUCUGGGGUGCCAGACAAGUUUAAAGCAAGAAAUCAGAUCUUAGCAGGACUAGAGUCAAGCAUUUUCUGGUGGUCCACUCUCAAUAAGAAUGUGGAUUGGAUCAAUGAUAUCUAUUAUCAACAGCGCUUCAUCAAUUAAACUAGAGAUGCAAUAGAUGGCAUGGCAGAAUAGAAUAGCAUUAGAUAUGUUAUUAGCUGAGAAGGGAGGGGUCUGCGUGAUAUUUGGAACAAUGUGCUGUACCUGCAUCCCGAAUUACACAGCUCCAGACGGAUCAGUGACCAAGGCCCUGGCAGAGAACUCUGGGGUAGAUAAUGCUCUAACAAAUUGGUUUGACAGUAUGUUUGGAAAAUGGAAAAAUGUCAUGAUCGCUGUGUUGUGGGCAACCUUCACCUGUGUGACUGUAAGUUUUGUGUGGAUGUUGCGUGAGAGGUCUCAUUUCCAGGACUCUGGAGAAAUCGAUGACACAACAGAUGGUGAGAUACGGACCGAUUCCAAGCUCUGACCAGUGGAAUGAUGAAUACAUGACCCCAGAUCUAGUAGAUGGACCCGGCUCCUUCACUUAGCCUAUGUUACAUGAGACCGUUUUAAUGUUUAGGUUUCUUCUUGUGUUGAUGUUUAGACUGUUUUUUGAUGAAGAUUAUAAUGAAAAUCCUGAUAAGAAGAGUUAUGAUUCUGAUGUAGGCCUAGAACAGUCAUUGUAAAUACAUAUAUUGGUCUUUGUGUGGUUGAUUUUGGAUACAACAGAUAUUUCUAAUAAAAACAGAUGUGUGAUUGUGUGUAUAAUAUUUAGUCAUAGGGUGGAUUGUUAUGAAUUUUAUGAAUAAUGACUAAAUGAUGUAUACAUUUAACGUAGAACUAUAUCUCACAGAAAUCUACCCUGUCACUGUAUGAUUGUAUGAAAUGUAUUAGAAUCAUAAAUCUGAUGUGUGUAGUUCUAGUCAGAAUUAGAACUAGGACUUUUUGUGCCCUUUUAGUAUGCAAGCAGGGUGCAAGUGUGAAACAAAUGAUAAGAGGAGCUAUCGACAGGCAAGCUGUACUACUGUGUUCCUUACAGGACAUUCUGUCCCCACCCAGGGAGGGGAGAGACCUUGGGCUUGUAGUAGAUUGUAUAACAGGUGGCAGACCAUGUAUGAGUAGGAGAAGACUUGUGAACUAUAUUGUCAUUGUUUCUGAAAGGAGGAGGGACAUUUAUGACGAAAUGUGAGGUAUAUAGACCAAUGUACAGGAAAUUCUAAACAGCUGACUAUGGUAGACUGGCCUCUGACUGUUUCAUUUUAAUAAAAACCUUACAAAUUCUUAGUAA